AUGGAAGAAGGGGUGCCCUGCCCAGCCCCAGCUGCUAAGCUCACAGCUCCUGUCAAAAAGUCCCAGGACAUGCACGACGAGAGGAGCAAGCUGGUGAAUGAGUAUGCGUGUCGAGUGCUGGAACUUCUGGGGAUGGGGCAUCGUCUGUUUGUGCCUCGGCUUCUGGCGACCUCAAAGGAAGAUCUUCUGCAGGCUGAUUUUGAAGGCGCCUUAAAGUUCUUCAGAGUCCAGCUUCCAAAGAGAUACAGGGCAGAGGAAAAUGCAAGAAGGCUAAUGGAGCAGGCUUGCAACAUUAAGGUACCGACCAAGAAGCUAAAGAAAUAUGAGAAAGAAUAUCAGACAAUGCGAGAGAGUCAGCUGCAGCAGGAAGACCCAAUGGAUAGAUACAAGAGGGAGAACCGGAGACUACAGGAGGCCAGCAUGAGGUUGGAACAAGAGAAUGAUGACCUUGCUCAUGAACUAGUAACCAGCAAGAUUGCUCUGCGGAAUGACUUGGAUCAAGCAGAAGACAAGGCAGACGUGCUGAAUAAAGAGCUUCUUUUGACCAAGCAGAGGCUAGUGGAGACCGAAGAAGAGAAGAGGAAGCAGGAGGAAGAGACGGCCCAGCUAAAAGAAGUCUUCAGGAAACAGCUAGAGAAGGCGGAAUAUGAAAUCAAGAAGACUACAGCUAUCAUUGCCGAGUAUAAACAGAUCUGUUCCCAGUUGAGUACCCGGCUGGAGAAACAGCAAGCAGCCAGCAAGGAGGAGCUGGAAGUGGUAAAGGGUAAGAUGAUGGCAUGUAAACACUGCAGUGACAUUUUCAGCAAGGAGGGCGCUUUGAAAGUAGCGGCCAUAAGCAGAGAGGACCAGGGGAUUGAAUCGGAUGAUGAGAAGGACUCUCUUAAGAAGCAACUGAGGGAGAUGGAGCUGGAAUUGGCACAAACCAAACUGCAGCUGGUGGAGGCCAAGUGUAAAAUCCAGGAACUUGAACAUCAGAGAGGAGCCCUUAUGAAUGAAAUCCAAGCUGCAAAAAACUCUUGGUUUAGCAAAACCCUGAACUCUAUCAAAACGGCCACGGGCACGCAGCCGCUGCAGCCACCACAGGCCACCCAGCCCCCCAAGGAGAGCACAUAGUUCCAGCCUCACCCAAGCACAGGAGCACAACGAUCAAAGCGACGGAAACCCAGGAAGAGUCCUGGUGUCCCUUUGAAAGGAAGGGAAGGAGGCCAGAAAGCAAGCCAGGAUCUUUCAGUAGCUCUCAAUCUUUCUCGUAUGACGCUUUUCAAAGGGAUGUUAUUUAAACUAACCUGAUUUAUGUUGAAUACCUGUGUUUGUGCUUCAUGGAAGGCCGUGUUCCGAUCCGUCAUAGUAUUAUUACACAUUAUUUUAUAUGCCUGAUGUCUGGUUGGAAACAAGUAAUUCAGAGCUAAAUGCUUUUUAUUUAGAACUAAUUAUUCAUAAUUAUUUUUAUCUUACAUGAAAAUGGAGAUGUGUUUUAUUCCAAGGUUGAAUUGAUAGGAAGAUAUUUGUCACAGCAAA
rnacentral:lncRNA from 1 species